GACGAACGCUGGCGGCGUGCCUAAUACAUGCAAGUCGAACGAACCGCGACUAAGUGCUUGCACUAAGUCAAGGUGAGUGGCGAACGGGUGAGUAACACGUGGGUAACCCACCUCAUAGUGGGGGAUAACAGUCGGAAACGACUGCUAAUACCGCAUAGGACAUAGGAUCACAUGAUCCAGUGAGGAAAGUUGGCGCAAGCUAUCGCUAAGAGAUGGACCCGCGGUGCAUUAGCUAGUUGGUAGGGUAAAGGCCUACCAAGGCGAUGAUGCAUAGCCGAACUGAGGGGGUGAUCGGCCACAUUGGGACUGAAACACGGCCCAAACUCCUACGGGAGGCAGCAGUAGGGAAUCUUCCGCAAUGGACGCAAGUCUGACGGAGCAACGCCGCGUGAGUGAAGAAGGUCUUCGGAUCGUAAAGCUCUGUUGUUAGAGAAGAACAGCGCAUAGAGUAACUGCUAUGCGUGUGACGGUAUCUAACCAGAAAGCCACGGCUAACUACGUG
rnacentral:rRNA from 1 species